rnacentral:tRNA from 1 species
GUUCCCGUGGCCAAGUUGGUUAAGGCUUCAUGCUUAUAUGGUACACUCCUGCCAGGUAUGCUACGUGAAAAUCGCGAGUUCGAUCCUCGCUGGGAGCA